UACAGAGGGGGCAAGCGUUGUUCGGAAUUACUGGGCGUAAAGGGCGCGUAGGCGGCCUGUUAAGUCGGACGUGAAAUCCCUCGGCUCAACCGGGGAACUGCGUCCGAAACUGGCGGGCUUGAAUUCGGGAGAGGGAUGUGGAAUUCCAGGUGUAGCAGUGAAAUGCGUAGAGAUGUGGAGGAACACCGAUGGCGAAGGCAGCCCCCUGGGCUGAGAUUGACGCUCAGGCACGAAAGCGUGGGGAGCAAACAGG
rnacentral:rRNA from 1 species